AUUGAACGCUGGCGGCAGGCCUAACACAUGCAAGUCGAGCGAGCGGCGGACGGGUGAGUAAUGUCUGGGAAACUGCCUGAUGGAGGGGGAUAACUACUGGAAACGGUAGCUAAUACCGCAUACCAUCAGAUGUGCCCAGAUGGGAUUAGCUGGUAGGUGGGGUAACGGCUCACCUAGGCGACGAUCCCUAGCUGGUCUGAGAGGUUGACCAGCCACUCUGGAACUGAGACACGGUCCAGGCUCCUACGGGAGUCACCAGUGGGGAAUAUUGCACAAUGGGCGCAAGCCUGAUGCAGCCAUGCCGCGUGUGUGAAGAAUGCCGUCGGGUUGUAAAGCACGUUCAGCGGGGAGGCGGUACCUGCAGAAGAAGCACCGGCUAACGCCGUGCCAGCAGCCGCGGUAAUAC
rnacentral:rRNA from 1 species